AUUGAACGCUGGCGGCAGGCCUAACACAUGCAAGUCGAACGAGUGGCGGACGGGUGAGCAAUGUCUGGGAAACUGCCUGAGGGAGGGGGAUAACUACUGGACACGGUAGCUAAUACCGCAUACCAUCGGAUGUGCCCGGCUGGGAUUAGCUAGUAGGUGGGGUAAAGGCUCACCUAGGCGACGAGCCCUAGCUGGUCUGAGAGGAGGACCAGCCACACUGGAACUGAGACACGGUCCAGACUCCUACGGGAGGCAGCAGUGGGGAAUAUUGCACAAUGGGCGUAAGCCGGAUGCAGCCAUGCCGCGUGUAUGAAGAAGGCCUUCGGGUUGUACAGCACUUUCAGCGGGGAGGCGUUACCCGCAGAAGAAGCACCGGCUAACUCCGUGCCAGCAGCCGCGGUAAUAC
rnacentral:rRNA from 1 species